rnacentral:rRNA from 1 species
UACGUAGGGUGCGAGCGUUGUUCGGAAUUACUGGGCGUAAAGGGCUCGUAGGUGGCCAACUAAGUCGGACGUGAAAUCCCUCGGCUUAACCUGGGAACUGCAUUCGAGACUGCAUUGCUAGAGUAUGGGAGAGGGAAGUGGAAUUUCCGGUGUAGCGGUGAAAUGCGUAGAUAUCGGAAGGAACAUCAGUGGCGAAAGCGACUUCCUGGACCAAUACUGACGCUCAUGUGCGAAAGCGUGGGGAGCAAACAGG